rnacentral:rRNA from 1 species
UAGGAGUCGAUCAUGGCAGGCAAAUCCACCAUGAGAUCCGAACCUGACAGUAUGCCGCGUCCUUCGGGACAAGGCAAUAGUGCGCGUAAGCAUGCUGCCGAGAAAAUCCGCUAAACUUAAUCCUGCAGGUACCCGUACCGCAAACGGACACACGUAGUCGGGAUGAAUAUUCUAAGGCGCUUGAGUGAUUCACGGUUAAGGAACUAGGCAAACUGACCCUGUAACUUCGGGAUAAAGGGUCCCUACCCUUUUAUGGGAGGGCGCAGAGAAUCGGUCCAGGCAACUGUUUAACAAAAACACAGGGCUGUGCCAAAUCGAAAGAUCCAGUAUACAGCCUGACACCUGCCCGGUGCUGGAAGGUUAAGAGGAGAUGUCAUCGAUAAGAGAAGCGUUGAAUUGAAGCCCCAGUAAACGGCGGCCGUAACGAUAACGGUCCUAAGGUAGCGAAAUUCCUUGUCGGGUAAGUUCCGACCUGCACGAAUGGUGUAAUGAUCUGGACGCUGUCUCAACCGUGAGCUCAGUGAAAUUGUAGUAUCGGUGAAGAUGCCGAUUACCCGCGAUGGGACGAAAAGACCCCGUGAACCUUUACUAUAGCUUAUCAUUGAAUCUGGGCACGUGAUGUGUAGGAUAGGUCGGAGGCUUUGAAGCAGGUACGCCAGUAUUUGUGGAGCCGCUGUUGAAAUACGACCCUUUAUUUGUUUGGAUUCUAACCCGUGGAACGGGGACAUUGAUUGGUGGGUAGUUUGACUGGGGUGGUCGCCUCCAAAAGCGUAACGGAGGCUUCUAAAGGUGCCCUCCGGCCGAUUGGUAACCGGCCUUAGAGUGUAAUGGCAUAAGGGCGCUUGACUGGGAGACUAACAAGUCGAUCAGGUAGGAAACUAGAGCAUAGUGAUCCGGUGUUUCCGUAUGGAAGGGACAUCGCUCAAAGGAUAAAAGGUACUCCGGGGAUAACAGGCUGAUCCCUCCCAAGAGCUCAUAUCGACGGAGUGGUUUGGCACCUCGAUGUCGGCUCGUCACAUCCUGGGGCUGGAGAAGGUCCCAAGGGUUGGGCUGUUCGCCCAUUAAAGUGGCACGCGAGCUGGGUUCAGAACGUCGUGAGACAGUUCGGUCUCUAUCUAUCGUGGGCGCAUGAAAUUUGCGUGGCUCUGACACUAGUACGAGAGGACCGUGUUGGACAGACCUCUGGUUUGCCGGUUGUGCCGCCAGGUGCAUUGCCGGGUAUCUAAGUCUGGAUCGGAUAAGUGCUGAAAGCAUCUAAGUACGAAGCCGGCCACAGGAUUAGAUUUCUCAGGGUCGUUGUAUACUACGACGUUGAUAGGAUGCAGGUGUAAAGAUGGAGACAUCAAAGCCGAGCAUUACUAAUUGCCC